rnacentral:rRNA from 1 species
GGCGAACGGGUGAGUAAUGCAUCGGAACGUGCCCAAUCGUGGGGGAUAACGCAGCGAAAGCUGUGCUAAUACCGCAUACGAUCUAUGGAUGAAAGCGGGGGACCUUCGGGCCUCGCGCGAUUGGAGCGGCCGAUGUUAGAUUAGGUAGUUGGUGGGGUAAAGGCUCACCAAGCCGACGAUCUAUAGCUGGUCUGAGAGGACGACCAGCCACACUGGAACUGAGACACGGUCCAGACUCCUACGGGAGGCAGCAGUGGGGAAUUUUGGACAAUGGGCGCAAGCCUGAUCCAGCAAUACCGCGUGCAGGAAGAAGGCCUUCGGGUUGUGAACUGCUUUUGUACGGAACGAAAAGGCUCUUUCUAAUAAAGAGGGCUCAUGACGGUACCGUAAGAAUAAGCACCGGCUAACUACGUGCCAGCAGCCGCGGUAACACGUAGGGCGCGAGCGUUAAUCGGAAUUACUGGGCGUAAAGCGUGC